AUGAUAGAAUAAUUAUUUUAUCAUACAGCUAGUAGACCAGAUUGUAUGCUCAUUAUGUGCACUUGUGCAAGCCUUCAAUCUAAGUUUAAUGAAUCAUAUUUUAUUGAUAACAAAUAAAUCAUAAUCUGAAUUUUGAUAGAAACAACUGUUUAAGAUAAGUUGAUUAAAACUUAGCUAGCAUGUCUUAUUAAUAAUUAUCUUAAGCAAAUAAAAUCUAAACUAAAUCGUUUUUGAGAAAUUGAUUUGAUCUUGAUAAAACUUCCUAUUGCCUCACAUACUUGUCCUUGAACCAUCUUGGUUAAUGAAA
rnacentral:lncRNA from 1 species